AGAGUUUGAUCAUGGCUCAGGACGAACGCUGGCGGCGUGCCUAACACAUGCAAGUCAAGGGGAAAGUUUAACUUCGGUUUAACGAGUAUACUGGCGGCCGGGUGAGUAACGCGUAGGCAACCUGCCCUUUCGAACGGGAUAACCCAGCGAAAGUUGGACUAAUACCGUAUACUGCAUAUUGAUCGCAUGAUUACUAUGUUAAAGGUUGCUCUUCGGAGCACUCGCGAGAGGAUGGGCCUGCGUUCCAUUAGUUAGUUGGUGAGGUAACGGCUCACCAAGGCAGCGAUGGAUAGCUGAUUUGAGAGAGUGGUCAGCCACCCUGGGACUGAGAUACGGCCCAGACUCCUACGGGAGGCAGC
rnacentral:rRNA from 1 species